ensembl:processed_transcript
GGUUCAUGGACUGCAGGUCGAUGAUGUAGGGGGCAAUCUGUCUCUCCACCUAGCCCAGCACCACGCUGGCCCUGCGCGUGAACCAGCGCAGCACCACCUUGAAGUGGUGCUUCACAGCAGGGCUGUAGGGACACCAGCCGCCUUGAUAGGUCAGCCAUUCCUACACCACUAGGGUCCAAGGUUGAGGUCUGGAGCAUAAAGUGCCCUGAGAUACUCCCUCCCCCCUUCCCCGUCCCUGCACACCCGGCCUCGGGCGCCACCGCCUCCUGGGAAGCCUCAGCUGUGGCUCAUGGGGGAGUCUGCAGUCGCUUAGGCACCGGGACGCGGACCCGUAGCUGCCCGCCUCCGACUGCGCUCCACCGCCCCUGCCGCUGCCGCUACUCCGAGGGGUCCAGCGGCUUCAUGCAAAGACCUGACCCUGCACAUCGUCGCCCGCCUUGCAAAGCCACCCAGGGCGCACGGCCCAAGCGCGACGCAGCACCCGCCUCGCACCAGUUGAGCCUUGCUCGAGCUGCACGGUCACGCCCUCCGUCCUCUCUCCGCUGGGAGCAAGGCAACGGCGGUGGCACAGCUCCCUCCCUGCCGCUCCGCUCAGAGGCUUCCAGGAGUCUCCCCUCCCCGGAAGAACGCCAAGGCCUGGUGCCCACAGAAGUCUGGAGAAAGCAUCAGAUCCCCUGAACUGGAGUUACUAGUAUUUACUAACCACCGUGCGAGUGCAGAAGACCAAACCCAGUUCCUCUGCAACAGCAACAGGUACUCCAUAAUCUGGAAUUUAUUUAGUAAUUUGUAACACAGAAUCUUCGUAUGCAAUUAAUGCUUCCAUGGAAUUCAGUAUUCAGCCAGUUUGUCUUCAACCUCACAAUUUUCAUAUCUCCUUAAUACUGUGAUUUAGGCAGCAUGUAUCAUGAAAUAAAUGCACGGUGGAUUCUAAUACAAAUUCUCAUUUAUUUUUUAAUUGGACUACACAUUUUUUUUGGUAAAUUUUCAUCUCUCCUAUUUUUUAUAAGACUUUAUGUUAAGAA